GCCUCAUCAAAUCUGAAGAAGGAAGUGGGAGAGAUGGAUCCAACGCUGGCCCAGCUGCAUAGGAGGGCAGUAGCUCUACGUGUAAACUCCAGAUGCUUGUACUUUGGUGACAUCACCGGCUGGAGGACUGAGAGCAGAGAUUCCCUUCAUUUUAUUCCCUAUUGACUUAAGUGAGUAAAUUAUGAAGAUACAUGCUGAAGCCACAGAAUGAAAAUAAGUUAAG